UACGUAGGGUGCAAGCGUUUGUCCGGAAUUAUUGGGCGUAAAGAGCUCGUAGGCGGUCUGUCGCGUCUGCUGUGAAAACUCAGGGCUUAACCCUGAGCUUGCAGUGGGUACGGGCAGACUAGAGUGCGGUAGGGGAGACUGGAAUUCCUGGUGUAGCGGUGAAAUGCGCAGAUAUCAGGAGGAACACCGGUGGCCGAAGGCGGGUCUCUGGGCGAGUAACUGACGCUGGAGGAACGAAAGCGUCGGGUAGCGAACAGG
rnacentral:rRNA from 1 species